CCAUCAUACAAUGGCAAAUUUCAAAAUAGGAGUUCGAUUCAUGAAUGGAUGACUAAAAUAUCCUGAUUCAAUCAGAAUUGGCAUUCAAACAGCUCCCAUCACGCUGUACACAUUUUGACACCGAGCGAUUGAACAGUACUCAAGGAUGUUCUCAGAAAGAAGUGGAUCUCCUCGGAAAUGACAUACAUAAAUAAAUAACCAAACGCAUACUGUGAAUUUUGACAUUUAGUUAGUUCCUUGCGAGA